rnacentral:rRNA from 1 species
UACGGAGGGUGCGAGCGUUGUCCGGAAUCACUGGGCGUAAAGGGCGCGUAGGCGGCCUGCUAAGUAGGGGGUGAAAUCCUGCGGCUUAACCGCAGGGCUGCCUUCUAAACUGUCAGGCUGGAGCACAGUAGAGGCAGGUGGAAUUCCCGGUGUAGCGGUGGAAUGCGUAGAGAUCGGGAAGAACAUCAGUGGCGAAGGCGGCGUGCUGGGCUGUUGCUGACGCUGAGGCGCGACAGCGUGGGGAGCAAACAGG